CCCCCUUUCUCCCAGAACAAGUAUUUCUGAAGACUGACUGAAAACUACAGCGCAGCCUACUGGACCAGAAGAACAGCAGAUUUUCCACCUGUAUAUCCACUUUCUAUGAUGUAGCAGCUGAGAUAAGGCUAUGUCACAUCUUCACUCCUUCAAUAGAGAGAGAGAGAGAUGGCAUCACAUCGAAAGGAGCACAAGGAAAAAAGGUGCAGAAAAGCACACAGUUACACGGACAACAGGUUGUACCAUGACAUUUUGGAAGCCCUGAAAUGGUGCCAGGUGAACAAGAGAAAUUUCCUUGGAAAUGUUUCACCUCCUCCGGUACUGGGCAUGUCUGAAGAUGAAGCAGAAGAGGCCUUUGCAAAUCUGGACGCUCUAAAUAUACUGACUGAAGAGGACGAGAGAUCCAACAUACUAAGAACCUUUUCCUUCCUUUUUGUCAGGCUAGAAGACAUGUCUCUGUUCCUAGAUAAUGUUAGAGACAAAAUGGGCAUGAGAGUUUUUUGUGAAUUAAUUUAAUGUUUGUAUAUAUUUAUUAGUAUGUCGUAGUCCAAAUUUCUUUAAGGGGUUAAACUUGCUUAAAUACUUUUGUGUUUAUAUGCAUGCUUAUGCAUAGUCUUUUUCUGUACAUGGUUUCCAUUUAUUGAUUACUGUGCAGUUUUAAACAUGUGCAUUCUAA